AGAGUUUGAUCCUGGCUCAGGAUGAACGCUGGCGGCGUGCUUAACACAUGCAAGUCGAACGAAUUACUUUAAAGGAAGUUUUCGGAUGGAAUUUAAAGUAGUUAGUGGCGGACGGGUGAGUAACGCGUGGGAAACCUGCCCUAUACAGGGGGAUAGCCUCGGGAAACCGGGAUUAAUACCCUAUGAAACUCUAGAGCCGCAUGGCUCAUGGGUCAAAGAUUUAUCGGUAUAGGAUGGUCCCGCGUCUGAUUAGCUAGUUGGUGAGGUAACGGCUCACCAAGGCGACGAUCAGUAGCCGGUCUGAGAGGAUGAACGGCCACACUGGGACUGAGACACGGCCCAGACUCCUACGGGAGGCAGCAGUGGGGAAUCUUCCGCAAUGGACGAAAGUCUGACGGAGCAACGCCGCGUGAGUGAAGAAGGUUUUCGGAUUGUAAAGCUCUGUCUUCUGGGAAGAAUGUCAUCCUUGAAAAUAUUGAGGGUGAAUGACGGUACUAGAGGAGGAAGCCACGGCUAACUACGUGCCAGCAGCCGCGGUAAUACGUAGGUGGCAAGCGUUGUCCGGAAUUAUUGGGCGUAAAGCGCGCGCAGGCGG
rnacentral:rRNA from 2 species